rnacentral:rRNA from 1 species
AGAGUUUGAUCCUGGCUCAGAUUGAACGCUGGCGGCAGGCCUAACACAUGCAAGUCGAGCGGUAGCACAGAGAGCUUGCUCUCGGGUGACGAGCGGCGGACGGGUGAGUAAUGUCUGGGAAACUGCCUGAUGGAGGGGGAUAACUACUGGAAACGGUAGCUAAUACCGCAUAACGUCGCAAGACCAAAGUGGGGGACCUUCGGGCCUCAUGCCAUCAGAUGUGCCCAUAUGGGAUUAGCUAGUUGGUGAGGUAAUGGCUCACCAAGGCGACGAUCCCUAGCUGGUCUGAGAGGAUGAUCAGCCACACUGGGACUGAGACACGGCCCAGACUCCUACGGGAGGCAGCAGUGGGGAAUAUUGCACAAUGGGCGCAAGCCUGAUGCAGCCAUGCCGCGUGUGUGAAGAAGGCCUUCGGGUUGUAAAGCACUUUCAGCGGGGAGGAAGGCAUUAAGGUUAAUAACCUUAGUGAUUGACGUUACCCGCAGAAGAAGCACCGGCUAACUCCGUGCCAGCAGCCGCGGUAAUAC